UUCAAAUGUAAAAAAUUUGUUGAACAUGUUUGUUAUAAAAAAUCUUGAUCCUUCAGUAUUUUAAUAAUAUCAGGGACAUACGUUUUUCAAUUGGAAUAUUGGUAACAGAAACAGAACAAAAUAAUAUGCAAAUCGGCUGAAUAAUCAAGCCUUACCUUCAGCUAAAUUAGAACUGGCUCUCCCUGCAGUGUCCGCAGCUGUUGUGCCGCCCCAUUCAAUUCGCUCCGGCAACGGAGAUUUUCCAUAUUGUUAUCAGCGGUGGCGGCUGUUCAAUAAGGCAAGGAAAACCUAAUAAGGAAAGGAAAACCAUACACACAGCGGAGCCCAACUGGAACCGCUCCUCCAUGGCCCACGACAGGAGCCCAUCCGGAUCCGGGGAUCGGGGAUCCGAGUGGAAAGCCAAAGCCGGAGUGGCAAUGAUUUCGAGUGUCAGGGGCUGGGGUUGCGGGUUGGGGGACAGUGAGGGCCAGGGAUGAUAUUGCGAAUACGACGAGUGUGCCGAGGACACUGGCAUGCAGUCAGUUGGUGUCGCAUCUCCUGGAUAUUGCAUGAGUUCCCUGAGUACGCCGCCAUCUGAAUUUCCAUUUGCCAGGACAGGCAGCCCCGUUUCCGUGCGGCAACAAUACUACUGCGACUACGACUACGACGACGUCAUGCGAUUAACCCGGCUGGAUUAAACAUUCAGUGCUAAGGAGGCAGAAACCAGACAAUAGCAAGGACACUACUCGACAUGGCUGGUUUUUACACCCAAACAGAACAAUGGAGCAGGGAUUAAGGUAUCCUUUAAAAUAUUGGCAUUAUAAAUUUGCUUAUAAAUUUGGGAUCACUAAAGUUGUUAUUGGAACACCAUUUAAUUACCUAAAGUCAAAAUUAAAUGUAGAUAUUGGA